AGAGUUUGAUCCUGGCUCAGAUUGAACGCUGGCGGCAUGCUUUACACAUGCAAGUCGAACGGCAGCACGGGGGCAACCCUGGUGGCGAGUGGCGAACGGGUGAGUAAUAUAUCGGAACAUAUCCGGAAGUGGGGGAUAACGUACCGAAAGGUACGCUAAUACCGCAUAUGCCCUGAGGGGGAAAGGGGGGGAUCGCAAGACCUCUCGCUUUCGGAGUGGCCGAUAUCGGAUUAGCUAGUUGGUGAGGUAAAGGCUCACCAAGGCGACGAUCCGUAGCUGGUCUGAGAGGACGACCAGCCACACUGGAACUGAGACACGGUCCAGACUCCUACGGGAGGCAGCAGUGGGGAAUUUUGGACAAUGGGCGAAAGCCUGAUCCAGCCAUGCCGCGUGAGUGAAGAAGGCCUUCGGGUUGUAAAGCUCUUUCAGCCGGAAAG
rnacentral:rRNA from 1 species